rnacentral:lncRNA from 1 species
AUGAGACAAUGCAAUUUAUGGUUCACCAAGCAGUUCACACAGCCUCCGUUCACACAGCUUCAGCCCACCCCUCUCCUGGCCAUGUGCAGAGCCAGGUGGGAUUUGCAGGGAGACAGUGAAGGGCUCUGGGGUCAGACUGGUGGUUCUGGAACCCACCCAGCUUCUCUGCUGAAAUCUUGCAGGUUGUCUCUGGCUUCACAGGGCUUGACUGUCCCCUCAGCAAUACAGCUCAAACAGUCUAGGAGCUCUCUGGGAUUCUCUGUGGCUGGAGAAGAAAUGUGGAUCCCUCCAAAUGGAAGGUUCUUUCAGUAUUUUCGAUGCUUUUUCAGAGUGGGAUGCACUCUCUCUGCCAAGGCCAUGAUGCCCUUCCCAGAAUGCAAACAUUGGACUGCCUGUGAUGCUUCCUAAAACAUUCUCAUUUUAGAAAUACCUAACUUAAUGCCAUAGAAAUCACCUGGUCUGUACUGCAAAGGGAUGUCAUGGAUUUUCUUUCUCUCUUGGAAGCAACUGGUAUGCUGCAAGAACAAGAACAUCAUGGGAAAAGAUUGUUUAUGGGAUUACUGACAGCACAGAAUGGUUGUCUGGGAUGGGAUAAAACCUUAUCUAAAGAAAAACACAGACAGAUACUUGGUGGUACAGGAAGAAAUCAAGCUGGAGGGAUGAGGGGUUCACAGGGACUGGAAUACAGAAAAUCAGGGACACUUCAGUCAACAUUUAAUGAUGGCUUGAUAUGAGAUGUGCAGGCCACUCUGCCAUGAUGGAACAGGGAGAAUGGGGACUCCUGUGAGGGUCCUGGCUUCAGCUAAAACCCCAGAACAGACAGUCGCACUGCCACUAGGCUAGACAGGACCUUGACAUGCACAAAUGGAAUAUCAUGGAGGUGGCACAGCUCCUGUAUGUGAUUUUAGUGACAUCAUCAGCAAAAUGGCACAUUCAGGUCUACUGCUUAUGCUUGAGAGUGACACUGAAAACUUGGAAAAGACUCAGGAAAGAAUGAGAAAAUUAUCCUAGGGCUAGAAAUCAUUCUCAGUGAGAGACAAAUGGAACAAGAUCUGUUUAUUUUAUCUAGUUUUUAAGAGGUGAUUUAAUUGUGGUCUGUGAGAACUAAUGUGGGGGAAUACUUUGAAUGCAAAGACUCUUUAAGAGGGCAGACAAAGACAGAAAAAUAUCCAGGGAUUGGAAAGCAAAGCUGGUGGCUGGUGGGCUUGAAACAAAGGAACUGUUUUUAACAGUGGGAAUAACUGACCAUUGGAACAAGGAGCUGAGAGAUGUGGUAAACUCUUCAUUGCAUACAGUCUUGGAAUGCAGACUGGCCAGUUUUCUGUGGAU